GACGAACGCUGGCGGCGCGCCUAACACAUGCAAGUCGAACGAGCGAGAGGAGGUUUACUUUCUCAAGCGAGUGGCGAACGGGUGAGUAACGCGUGAGGAACCUGCCUCAAAGAGGGGGACAACAGUUGGAAACGACUGCUAAUACCGCAUAAGCCCACGACCCGGCAUCGGGUAGAGGGAAAAGGAGCAAUCCGCUCUGAGAUGGCCUCGCGUCCGAUUAGCUAGUUGGUGAGGUAAUGGCCCACCAAGGCGACGAUCGGUAGCCGGACUGAGAGGUUGAACGGCCACAUUGGGACUGAGACACGGCCCAGACUCCUACGGGAGGCAGCAGUGGGGAAUAUUGCACAAUGGGGGAAACCCUGAUGCAGCGACGCCGCGUGGAGGAAGAAGGUCUUCGGAUUGUAAACUCCUGUUGUGGAGGAAGAUAAUGACGGUACUCAACAAGGAAGUGACGGCUAACUACGUG
rnacentral:rRNA from 1 species